rnacentral:rRNA from 1 species
GGGUUGUGAGGUUAAGCGACUAAGCGUACACGGUGGAUGCCCUGGCAGUCAGAGGCGAUGAAGGACGUGCUAAUCUGCGAUAAGCGUCGGUAAGGUGAUAUGAACCGUUAUAACCGGCGAUUUCCGAAUGGGGAAACCCAGUGUGUUUCGACACACUAUCAUUAACUGAAUCCAUAGGUUAAUGAGGCGAACCGGGGGAACUGAAACAUCUAAGUACCCCGAGGAAAAGAAAUCAACCGAGAUUCCCCCAGUAGCGGCGAGCGAACGGGGAGCAGCCCAGAGCCUGAAUCAGUGUGUGUGUUAGUGGAAGCGUCUGGAAAGGCGCGCGAUACAGGGUGACAGCCCCGUACACAAAAAUGCACAUGCUGUGAGCUCGAUGAGUAGGGCGGGACACGUGGUAUCCUGUCUGAAUAUGGGGGGACCAUCCUCCAAGGCUAAAUACUCCUGACUGACCGAUAGUGAACCAGUACCGUGAGGGAAAGGCGAAAAGAACCCCGGCGAGGGGAGUGAAAAAGAACCUGAAACCGUGUACGUACAAGCAGUGGGAGCACGCUUAGGCGUGUGACUGCGUACCUUUUGUAUAAUGGGUCAGCGACUUAUAUUCUGUAGCAAGGUUAACCGAAUAGGGGAGCCGAAGGGAAACCGAGUCUUAACUGGGCGUUAAGUUGCAGGGUAUAGACCCGAAACCCGGUGAUCUAGCCAUGGGCAGGUUGAAGGUUGGGUAACACUAACUGGAGGACCGAACCGACUAAUGUUGAAAAAUUAGCGGAUGACUUGUGGCUGGGGGUGAAAGGCCAAUCAAACCGGGAGAUAGCUGGUUCUCCCCGAAAGCUAUUUAGGUAGCGCCUCGUGAAUUCAUCUCCGGGGGUAGAGCACUGUUUCGGCAAGGGGGUCAUCCCGACUUACCAACCCGAUGCAAACUGCGAAUACCGGAGAAUGUUAUCACGGGAGACACACGGCGGGUGCUAACGUCCGUCGUGAAGAGGGAAACAACCCAGACCGCCAGCUAAGGUCCCAAAGUCAUGGUUAAGUGGGAAACGAUGUGGGAAGGCCCAGACAGCCAGGAUGUUGGCUUAGAAGCAGCCAUCAUUUAAAGAAAGCGUAAUAGCUCACUGGUCGAGUCGGCCUGCGCGGAAGAUGUAACGGGGCUAAACCAUACACCGAAGCUGCGGCAGCGACGCUGAUGCGUUGUUGGGUAGGGGAGCGUUCUGUAAGCCUGCGAAGGUGUGCUGUGAGGCAUGCUGGAGGUAUCAGAAGUGCGAAUGCUGACAUAAGUAACGAUAAAGCGGGUGAAAAGCCCGCUCGCCGGAAGACCAAGGGUUCCUGUCCAACGUUAAUCGGGGCAGGGUGAGUCGACCCCUAAGGCGAGGCCGAAAGGCGUAGUCGAUGGGAAACAGGUUAAUAUUCCUGUACUUGGUGUUACUGCGAAGGGGGGACGGAGAAGGCUAUGUUGGCCGGGCGACGGUUGUCCCGGUUUAAGCGUGUAGGCUGGUUUUCCAGGCAAAUCCGGAAAAUCAAGGCUGAGGCGUGAUGACGAGGCACUACGGUGCUGAAGCAACAAAUGCCCUGCUUCCAGGAAAAGCCUCUAAGCAUCAGGUAACAUCAAAUCGUACCCCAAACCGACACAGGUGGUCAGGUAGAGAAUACCAAGGCGCUUGAGAGAACUCGGGUGAAGGAACUAGGCAAAAUGGUGCCGUAACUUCGGGAGAAGGCACGCUGAUAUGUAGGUGAAGUCCCUCGCGGAUGGAGCUGAAAUCAGUCGAAGAUACCAGCUGGCUGCAACUGUUUAUUAAAAACACAGCACUGUGCAAACACGAAAGUGGACGUAUACGGUGUGACGCCUGCCCGGUGCCGGAAGGUUAAUUGAUGGGGUCAGCGCAAGCGAAGCUCUUGAUCGAAGCCCCGGUAAACGGCGGCCGUAACUAUAACGGUCCUAAGGUAGCGAAAUUCCUUGUCGGGUAAGUUCCGACCUGCACGAAUGGCGUAAUGAUGGCCAGGCUGUCUCCACCCGAGACUCAGUGAAAUUGAACUCGCUGUGAAGAUGCAGUGUACCCGCGGCAAGACGGAAAGACCCCGUGAACCUUUACUAUAGCUUGACACUGAACAUUGAGCCUUGAUGUGUAGGAUAGGUGGGAGGCUUGGAAGUGUGGACGCCAGUCUGCAUGGAGCCGACCUUGAAAUACCACCCUUUAAUGUUUGAUGUUCUAACGUUGACCCGUAAUCCGGGUUGCGGACAGUGUCUGGUGGGUAGUUUGACUGGGGCGGUCUCCUCCUAAAGAGUAACGGAGGAGCACGAAGGUUGGCUAAUCCUGGUCGGACAUCAGGAGGUUAGUGCAAUGGCAUAAGCCAGCUUGACUGCGAGCGUGACGGCGCGAGCAGGUGCGAAAGCAGGUCAUAGUGAUCCGGUGGUUCUGAAUGGAAGGGCCAUCGCUCAACGGAUAAAAGGUACUCCGGGGAUAACAGGCUGAUACCGCCCAAGAGUUCAUAUCGACGGCGGUGUUUGGCACCUCGAUGUCGGCUCAUCACAUCCUGGGGCUGAAGUAGGUCCCAAGGGUAUGGCUGUUCGCCAUUUAAAGUGGUACGCGAGCUGGGUUUAGAACGUCGUGAGACAGUUCGGUCCCUAUCUGCCGUGGGCGCUGGAGAACUGAGGGGGGCUGCUCCUAGUACGAGAGGACCGGAGUGGACGCAUCACUGGUGUUCGGGUUGUCAUGCCAAUGGCACUGCCCGGUAGCUAAAUGCGGAAGAGAUAAGUGCUGAAAGCAUCUAAGCACGAAACUUGCCCCGAGAUGAGUUCUCCCUGACUCCUUGAGAGUCCUGAAGGAACGUUGAAGACGACGACGUUGAUAGGCCGGGUGUGUAAGCGCAGCGAUGCGUUGAGCUAACCGGUACUAAUGAACCGUGAGGCUUAACCUUACAACGCCGAAG